rnacentral:tRNA from 1 species
GGGUGGCCGAGCAGGUGGCGAGCUGUAGCCUCGUUCACGGGGCAGCGCCCCCCCGAC